GGUGCCGUGGUGAAGAAGUUACACUGCGGUCUGCAAAACCGCUAUACGUGGGUGCAAAUCCCACCGGCACCU
rfam:Bdellovibrionales bacterium RIFOXYD1_FTLL_44_7 rifoxyd1_full_scaffold_10731, whole genome shotgun sequence.